rnacentral:rRNA from 1 species
CACGUAGGGGGCAAGCGUUGUCCGGAUUUAUUGGGCGUAAAGAGCGUGUAGGCGGCCAGAUAGGUCUGGUGUGAAAACUCGAGGCUCAACCUCGAGAGGUCACUGGAAACCAUUUGGCUAGAGUCCGGAAGAGGCGAGUGGAAUUCCUGGUGUAGUAGUGAAAUACGUAGAUAUUAGGAGGAACACCAGUGGCGAAGGCGGCUAUCUGGGCCAUUAUUGACGCUAAGAUGCGAAAGCGUGGGGAGCAAACAGG